AUGGCCCGCAAGAAGGUGCCCCUCCGCUACAUUGGCAACUCAACACGGCGCCAUACUUAUGUGACGCGCCGCAACAGCCUGAUGAAGAAGGCGGGCGAGUUGGGCAUCCUGUGCAACACCAAGAUCUGCAUGCUGGUGUAUGAUGAGGGUGCCGCGUCGCCGGACGUUUACCCAUCCCACAUGGAGGCGGUGGCUAUCCUGAAUAGGUACAAGAACAUGCCGGACAUGUCGCGGUUCAAGAAGGUGGUGACCCAGGAGGAGUUCCUCACCAAGCAAGUCGCCAAGCUCCAGCAUGAGGCCGACAAGCUCCGGCGCGAGCGUGAGGACCGCGAUACCAGGAUCCUUCUGCACAAGGCCAUGCUCGGUGGCAACCUGAAUGCUGAGGAGGUCACCAGGGUUGGAUGUAAGUUGCAGGAGAUCCGCAAGAGCCUCGCAGAGCGCAUAGCAAAUACCAGCGGGCAGCCGCCGAUCUUCCAGCUCCAAGCGCAAUACGUCACCGGCGGUGUCGACAUGGGGCCUCCGUCGAUGGACCAGGUGCCGCCACAGCAGGAGGGCUGGCAGCCAGAGGUCUUCCAGGCCCAGGCACCACGGGUCACGAGCAACGUCGACAUGGGGUAUCUGCCGACAUAUCAGGUUCCGCCUCAACAGCAACAAGGCUGGCAGCCACAGGUCUUUCGGCCCCAGGCGCCAUACGUCAUCGGCAAUGUCGACAUGGGGCCUCCGCAGAUGUAUCAUGUGCCGCUGCAGCAGCACGGCUGGCAGCCACCGACCUUCCAGCCCCAGGCGUCAUAUGUCCCUAGUAGCGUUGACAUGGGGCCUCCGCCGAUGUAUCAGGCGCAGACGCCAUACGUCACUGGCAGCAUUGACAUAGGGCCUCCACCGAUGUAUCAGGCGCCGCCGCAUCAGCAAGAGGGUUGGCUUGACAUGCAGAGGUCCGAGGGGGCCAGCGCAUUGCUCUACAAUGCUAACGGUACUGGUGGCCACGACGGCGCCGGUACUAGCUCUAGCGUCGGCUUCCCCAUGGAUGAUCUGAUGCAGUUCUUCAACAAUAUGAGAUCCGGGUUGAAGUGA
rnacentral:rRNA from 1 species